rnacentral:rRNA from 1 species
AAUGGGGGAUAACGUAGCGAAAGUUACGCUAAUACCGCAUAUGCCCUGAGGGGGAAAGGUGGGGAUCGCAAGACCUAUCGUUUUCGGAGUGGCCGAUAUCAGAUUAGCUAGUUGGUGAGGUAAAGGCUCACCAAGGCGACGAUCUGUAGCGGGUCUGAGAGGAUGAUCCGCCACACUGGGACUGAGACACGGCCCAGACUCCUACGGGAGGCAGCAGUGGGGAAUUUUGGACAAUGGGGGCAACCCUGAUCCAGCCAUGCCGCGUGAGUGAAGAAGGCCUUCGGGUUGUAAAGCUCUUUCAGCCGGAAAGAAAUCGCCACUCCUAAUACGAGUGGUGGAUGACGGUACCGGAAGAAGAAGCACCGGCUAACUACGUGCCAGCAGCCGCGGUAAUACGUAGGGUGCGAGCGUUAAUCGGAAUUACUGGGCGUAAAGCGUGCGCAGGCGGUUUUGUAAGACAGGUGUGAAAUCCCCGGGCUUAACCUGGGAACUGCAUUUGUGACUGCAAGGCUAGAGUGUGGCAGAGGGGGGUAGAAUUCCG